rnacentral:rRNA from 1 species
ACGCUUGAAGUCAGUCGCGUUGGCUAGAAAUCAACUUUGCUCUUGCUUUGUGUACUUUCUGGUCGACGGGUCAGCAUCAAUUUUGACCAUUGGAUAAAGUCUUUGGGAAUGUGGCAUCUCAGGAUGUGUUAUAGCCCAUUGUCGCAUACAGUGGUUGGGAUUGAGGAACUCAGCACGCCGCAAGGCCGGGUUUCGACCACGUUCGUGCUUAGGAUGCUGGCAUAAUGGCUUUAAUCGACCCGUCUUGAAACACGGACCAAGGAGUC